GGGGAAUAUUGCACAAUGGGGGAAACCCUGAUGCAGCAACGCCGCGUGAAGGAUGAAGGUUUUCGGAUUGUAAACUUCUUUGAUGAGGGACGAAUAAUGACGGUACCUCAAAAACAAGCCACGGCUAACUACGUGCCAGCAGCCGCGGUAAUACGUAGGUGGCAAGCGUUGUCCGGAGUUACUGGGUGUAAAGGGCGUGUAGGCGGGAAGAUAAGUCAGAUGUGAAAUUCCAUGGCUCAACUGUGGCGCUGCAUCUGAAACUAUUUUUCUUGAGUGAUGGAGAGGAAAGCGGAAUUCCUAGUGUAGCGGUGAAAUGCGUAGAUAUUAGGAGGAACACCAGUGGCGAAGGCGGCUUUCUGGACAUUAACUGACGCUGAGGCGCGAAAGCGUGGGGAGCAAAC
rnacentral:rRNA from 1 species